rnacentral:rRNA from 1 species
CUACGGGUGGCUGCAGUGGGGAAUUUUGCACAAUGGGCGAAAGCCUGAUGCAGCAACGCCGCGUGUGCGAUGAAGGCCUUCGGGUCGUAAAGCACUUUUUGAGAGGAUGAGAAAGGACAGUACUCUCAGAAUAAGUCUCGGCUAACUACGUGCCAGCAGCCGCGGUAACACGUAGGAGGCAAGCGUUACCCGGAUUUACUGGGCGUAAAGCGCGUGCAGGUGGUUUGGUAAGUUGGAUGUGAAAUCUCCCGGCUCAACUGGGAGAGGUCGUUCAAAACUGCUAAACUAGAGGACGAUAGAGGAAAGUGGAAUUCCCGGUGUAGUGGUGAAAUGCGUAGAUAUCGGGAGGAACACCAGUGGCGAAAGCGACUUUCUGGCUCGUUCCUGACACUAAGACGCGAAAGCUAGGGUAGCAAACGGGAUUAGAUACCCCCGUAGUC